rnacentral:rRNA from 1 species
UACGGGGGGGGGCAAGCGUUGUUCGGAAUUACUGGGCGUAAAGCGUGCGCAGGCGGUUUUGUAAGCCAGAUGUGAAAUCCCCGGGCUUAACCUGGGAAUGGCAUUUGGGACUGCAAGGCUUGAGUGCGGCAGAGGAGACUGGAAUUCCUGGUGUAGCAGUGAAAUGCGUAGAUAUCAGGAGGAACACCGGUGGCGAAGGCGGCCUGCUGGGCAGUUGCUGACACUGGAGGCGCGACAGCGUGGGGAGCAAACAGGG